rnacentral:rRNA from 1 species
AACGUAGGAGACAAACGUUAUCCGGAGUUACUGGGCGUAAAGGGCGUGUAGGUGGUAGUGUAAGUCUGGCGUGAAAUUUUUCGGCUUAACCGGGAAAGGUCGUCGGAUACUGCACAACUAGAGGACGGUAGAGGCGUGUGGAAUUCCGGGUGUAGUGGUGAAAUGCGUAGAGAUCCGGAGGAACACCAGUGGCGAAGGCGGCCAGCUGGGCCGUCCCUGACGCUGAGGCGCGAAGGCGUGGGGAGCGAACGGG